CUGGCCGCCAAGUGGGGGAUCACUGAGAGCUGACACCAGAGAAGCUGUCGCCGGAGCGGAUGGAGGCUUUUCACAGCCAGGACCCGUGGCUGAAUCUGGGUACAUGGAGAUGAAGCUGAAUCAGUGUUUUUUCUACACUUAAUUCAAUUCAGCACAGCAGGAUCUGGAUGAGACACACAUUGGCAGUGGUUUGUGGAAGGCGGAGCUGCUGUCAACAUGGAAAGAAAUCACAUUCUAGGAAUUCAGCGAUUACCUGAAGGUUUCCAGAAACCUUCAAGACCCGAAGCUAAAGACUUCUAAGAAGACUUAGUGGCUGGUUUUUGAAGCUGUGUGACCAAACAGAGGGACCUGAAACCAACAAAGAUAGCCCCACAGUGCACAACAGAGGAAGAGAAGCAAGAACAAGCAGUGUCCGGUCGGUAGAGUCAAGUGCUGCAGAGAAGGAAGUGAGGUGGGCGAGGAAGUCCUGUGACUCAAGGACCAGAGUUCAUUGGUGACUUUGUUGCUUGCAGCCUCAGUGGGGCAGCGCUAGAAGCCAGGGGUGGUGGAGAUGUGAGUCUCAGGAUUUGAGACAGGCAAUUUUGUUUUUGUGGGUGAUUUUUUUUUUUUAAAGAUUUAUUUAUUCAUACAUACAAGAAUCGGGAUACAGGUCAGAUGUGUGGGAGGGUGAGAGGAUUCACCAGAGACAGAGUGGGAAAUAGAACAGGCAGACUGACUGAAAUACACUGCUGAGGGGAGCAGCAGGCGAGACAGGAGAGGUCUGCCAUG